rnacentral:rRNA from 1 species
GUAGUUUACUACAGAAAAUGACUGAGCGGCGAACGGGUGAGUAACGCGUGAGCAAUCUACCUUAGUUACAGGGAUAGCCCGAGGAAACUCGGAUUAAUACCUGAUAUUCUUUAUUUCUCGCAUGAGAAUAAAAGGAAAGGUCAGCCGAACUAAGAUGAGCUCGCGUUCUAUCAGCUAGUUGGUGAGGUAAAAGCUUACCAAGGCUACGACGGAUAGCUGGUCUGAGAGGACGAUCAGCCACACUGGGACUGAGACACGGCCCAGACUCCUACGGGAGGCUGCAGCAGGGAAUAUUGUGCAAUGAACGAAAGUUUGACACAGCGACACCGCGUGUGGGAUGACGGAUCUAGGUUUGUAAACCACUUUCAGGAGGGAAGAAAAUGACGGUACCUCCACAAGAAGCCCCGGCCAACUACGUGCCAGCAGCCGCGGUAAUACGUAGGGGGCGAGCGUUGUCCGGAUUUAUUGGGCGUAAAGAGCUCGUAGGCGGUUCAACAAGUCGGUCGUGAAAGUUCAGGGCUCAACCCUGAAAUGUCGAUCGAUACUGUUGUGACUAGGAUACGGUAGAGGUGAGUGGAAUUCCGAGUGUAGCGGUGAAAUGCGUAGAUAUUCGGAGGAACACCAAUUGCGAAGGCAGCUCACUGGACCGCUAUCGACGCUGAGGAGCGAAAGCUAGGGGAGCAAACAGGAUUAGAUACCCUGGUAG